UACAACUUCCAAAAUCUUAACUAAGCUUUUAGCUUAUGUUAAAGAACUUCUUCCUUGGUUUCGUUCUUACCUUUGGAAAAAGAAACCUAUUGUAAAUAUCUUGACAAUUUUCAAAUGAAACCAUGUUCCUCUGCCAUGUUUACAUUUCACUUUAACAAGUCCUUCAAAAAAUAAAAAUAAAAAAAAAAUAAAAAAAAUAAAAAAAAAAUCUAUUUUUGCAUAAGCAUAUCAUGCAUCAUUUUGCAUUCAUAGUUUCUAGUCUGUAUCUCACACUGUGUCUUCUCCAUAAAAGGGUCAAUUCAUUAGUAAAGUGGUCAGAUGUCUUC
rnacentral:lncRNA from 1 species